CCUCACCAUGCUGCACUGGGACAGGAGGUAGCACAUAGUGGCCGAUCCUCACUGACUUUACACUCUGUCGCUUUUUACACACACACAGGAACAAGCUGUGAAAAACUGUGAUCUUGUCCCAGAGGGUGUCCGGGUGUGCAGCAUCAUCACUGAAAAGGGUGGCUAUGGGCCAGAGCCGCCUCACCUCCAACACGAUGAGGUUCCAGUAAGAACAGCAGCACUGGGGUUCUGUGCAGGAUUGUCAUCCAAUCGAAGCACUUAUUAAAGUGCACGAUGUUUGCCAGGAUGCUUCCAGUCCAGGCUUAAGACGCUUUCCUUCUGUCGCCACGCAAUAGGUUCUUUUCAGAUACUGGAAUUGCAAUUGAGUCCCUCUGCUGUGUACUGGAGAGUGACUGGUCCAGGAGCUUCAAAGCAGCACUCACUCUGUUGCUAUGACAACAGUGAAGCCACUCCCUGUUUGUUUCCCAACCCCCCCCCAUCUUUUGGUGUUCAGAGUGGCUCUUAGGAGAGGCUGGUGGUGUUCAUUAAACAUAGUCAAACAUAUUUCUUCCUAGCUUCCCAUUUUAACAGAUUCAAUUGCAUCAAAACAUUUGUUGUUAUUCUAUAUAAUCAAUGAAACAUUUUGAC